CACCUGGGCUAUCCUGUUGAGGACCUCGAUCUCGGCCGCCUCACCGCCGGUGCCGAAACCGGCAUUGAGCACGGAAGCCACCCAGGAAUCGAUGCCGUCGCUCGCGCCGUUCUUGCUCACAAAGAACGCCACCGGCUUCCCAGCCUGCUCCGGCAAUAGAACCACAAAUCAUGCACACCAUUGUCGGUUUUGACGGAAGCAGAACACAAGUCGGGCUUUGUCCAGGCAGCGCCAUGCAUUCCAUUUUGCAGAACCAAGCUUCAUAUGCACUCAUACAGCAGUACAUCUGGGGGCCACGCCGCGAAGCUGAAGUGGCCUGUCAGCAGGAGGCUCAGUAUUAAAGAUACAGUACAUGCGGUUGGCACCGCACCUGGGAGGCGCAGAGCUCUUUGGCCAUGAGGGCGGCCAGCUGCGGGUUGUCGGCCAGGCUUCGGCAGGUGCAACGGCCCAUCAGCCCAAACAGCCGCGACUGGAACGCGUCGAGCACCUGCCCCAGCACAUUCUCCACCACGCC
rnacentral:lncRNA from 1 species